rnacentral:rRNA from 1 species
AGUGAACGCUGGCGGCAUGCCUAACACAUGCAAGUCGAACGACAGCACAGUAAGCUCUUUCUCUUACCGUUGGCGACUGGCGGACGGGUGAGACAUACAUCGCCUUCUACUUUUUCGUGGGUGAUUACGUGGGGCAACUUCUGCUACUACCUCAUACGUCCUACGGGUGAAAUCAGUAGUUCUUCGCACCUUUCGUGUCUCUAUUAGCUGAUGUCGGAUUAGCUAGUUGGCUUGGUAAAGGCCCACCAAGGCAACGAUGCGUAGCCGGCCUGAGAGGAUGAUCAGCCACACUGGAACUGAGACACGGUCCAGACUCCUACGGGAGGCAGCAGUGGGGAAUCUUGGGCAAUGGGCGAAAGCCUGAUCGAGCAAUACCGCGUGAGUGAAGAAGGUCUUCGGGUCGUAAAACUCUGUUGUUAGGAAAGAAAAGAAGUGGAAGAAACCAUGGAUGUCUUGACGGUACCUAAAGAGUAAGCCACGGCUAACUUCGUG